AUUGAACGCUGGCGGCAUGCCUUACACAUGCAAGUCGAACGGUAACAGGUCUUCGGAUGCUGACGAGUGGCGAACGGGUGAGUAAUACAUCGGAACGUGCCCGAUCGUGGGGGAUAACGAAGCGAAAGCUUUGCUAAUACCGCAUAAGAUCUACGGAUGAAAGCAGGGGACCGCAAGGCCUUGCGCGAACGGAGCGGCCGAAGGCAGAUUAGGUAGUUGGUGGGAUAAAAGCUUACCAAGCCGACGAUCUGUAGCUGGUCUGAGAGGACGACCGGCCAGAAUGGGACUGAGCCACGGCCGGGGUUCCGACGGGAGGCAGCAGUGGGGAAUUUUGGACACUGGGCGAAAGCCUGCUCCAGCCAUACCGAGUGUAGGAUGAAGGCCUUCGGGUUUUAAACUACUUUUGUACAGAACGAAAAGGUUUCUACUAAUACUAGGAGCUCAUGACGGUACUGUAAGAAUAAGCACCGGCUAACUACGUGCCAGCCGCCGCCGUAA
rnacentral:rRNA from 1 species